AAAUGUCUAGCAAAAUGCAACUGUUGUUUUUUGUAAGCAGCCUAGUAAUGGUUUCUGCCAGGGGCUAGGAGCUGAUUUGUUUUCUUUUCCGUUCUCCCUUGGAAUAAAGCGGUUAGUCCCGUCUGUUGUUUAAGUUUGUUUGCUUCCUUUCACGUCGACCUCCCUUGCCAGAUGGCACCGCAGGCAGGUUGGAUCAAUCCUUAUUUGGAUGGCUUGCAUUUCUUCAUAAGGAAGCUCCUCUUGUUUGUUUUUGCCCUCUCUCAGGCAUUUUUAAUUUUCUUGCUUUCCCCCUCAUCAUGGGACUGGGAUGAUCUGACUAGUGGCUAUGAUUCCUCCUUGCUGGUGUACGAGAGGACAAAGAGUGAGGUCUUUUCCGAUUCCCCGGGAAACUCAAGCUCUCUCCGAGUGAAGAUUUAAAGAGGGAGAGACACCGCCUAAAUGUAGCUUGAUGAUGGCCUGCGAAACAAAUGUGAGGAUGUAUACCUUGCGCCGGGUGCAGGAUUCUAUCAGGGCGAACCGGAGUGUAGAAGACCCUAAGACGGUGGAGCAGCUCUUAAACCAGGGCAGGGAUAACCUAGACAUCAACCAGAGACAGUGCCGCUGCAACAGAGUGCUAAUCACAGCUGAUGCCCUGCUGUUGGCUGCUUUGUCCCCAUAAUGCACUCCAACCUCCCAACCCAUUCCCAGGGGAUCAUGGCGAAGGCUGCAACCCUCUCUCUUAGAGCAUACAACCAUGCCGACAACCAUCCAUGGAGAUCAGUUGACAAAGGGCUGGACAUCGGGCCGCACCGAAAAAACGCAUCCUUGCCAAGAAAGUGGCCACUGUAAUUGAAGGGGGCUCAGGGCAGUACCGUUCUGUUAAUCUGAAGGUGCGCAUGGAUCAGAUUCAAACUUUGAAGACCGAGAUUGAAGGCAGACCAGCAGAAAGAGAAACAUUAUCUGAGGGCAGAGAUACGGGCAACAGCUGACACAUUGGUCUAGAGCCAGGUGGCAUUGGCGGAGAUUCAGGCAGAGAAUGGCGCGUUGAAGAGUGCGAGGAAUGAGAUGGAGUCACAAUCCAUGCCAGGCACACCUGUUAGCUCUGGAACUCCACAUCCGACAGGCAGUCAACAUGCCUGGCGGUUCAUCAGAUUGUCGGUUCACCCUGACAUUUCCAUUCCUCUUCUGACAACAGAACUUGACCAACUGCUCACUAGGCACAGCAAGGGCCGUCCGGACCGUUAUGCUGUGCUGCUAUAGCCUAAUAAACAAAUGCAGGUGGCUUAUAUCUUAAAUGCUUUAAAUGCUUUAUAACCCAAAUGUAGAAGCAUAUACUGUACUGUAUUUCUUCAUCAGCAUCUUAAUGCUGAUUUAAAAAUACUCUUUCAAAAUGCCGAUGUUUAUUUAGUAUGGAUCCAUAACGGAUUACAAUGUGAGAAAAUGUCACUGAAUUACAGAAAUAUUGGAACAAAGUUGUCUAAUGCUUACUGGAAAAUACUCUUUCAAACACACACGGUCACGUUGUACAGCGCCAUUAUGGCUAUUAGCAGGUAGCUGGACAAUAGACUUGCCUAGAAGGAGGGUACUGGAGAAUUCUGUUGUCAAAUGUAUUUCUUACUUCGGUUGGCUGUGUCACAACUGGCUGUGAUUGGAUGCAAUUUCAGCUUAAUCCACCAGAAAAUACAAAACAAAUAAUACAACAAAAGGUGUUAUGUAUCACAUCUGACAAUGAUUGGGAGUUCCAUAGGGCGGUUCACAAUU